rnacentral:rRNA from 1 species
GAUGAACGCUGGCGGCGUGCCUAAUACAUGCAAGUCGAGCGAACAGACGAUGAGCUUGCUCCUCUGACGUUAGCGGCGGACGGGUGAGUAACACGUGGAUAACCUACCUAUAAUACUGGGAUAACUUCGUGAAACCGGAGCUAAUACCGGAUAAUAUAUUGAACCGCAUGGUACAAUAGUGAAAGACGGUUUUGCUGUCACUUAUAGAUGGUUCCGCGGCGCAUUAGCUAAUUGGUAAGUUAACGGCAUACCAAGGCGACGAUGCGUAGCCGACAUGAGAGGGUGGACGGCCAGACUGGAACUGAGACACGGCCCAGACUCCUACAGUAGGAAGCAGUAGGGAAUCUUCCGCGAUGGGCGAAAGCGUGAUGGAGCAAAGCCGAGUGAGUGAUGAAGGUGUGCGGAUGGGAGAACUCUGUAAGUAGGGAAGAACAAAUGUGUAAGUAACUAUGAACGUAUUGACGGUACCUAAUCAGAAAGCCACGGCUAACUACGUG